UGGAAAGCCCUGGAGACUGAAGUCUUCUAUUAAUUCACAGAAGAGGUUUAACCCUGUGCAAACUUCCCCACAUGGCCCAGCUAAUGGGAUGCAACUAGGAGGACCACUCCAAAGGGUAGAAGGGACUUCUGUCUUCAUCGCCAUUCAUUCCUUGCACUUUC
rnacentral:sRNA from 1 species